UUUCUCCUUGAGUAUGUUAUCAAAUCAGGCCUAUCCAAAUAAAGACACAUUCAAGAGCUCUAGGAUCAAAGUUCCUAGUGUAAACAAAGCAAACACAACCAAAGAGUCCGGAGCCUAAAGGGCAUAAAAAUACACGGUUUUUACCAAAAGAGAAUGUCUAAAAAUUAUUAUACCAAAACGGGUAUAUCGUGGGCUGAUCCACGAUAUACCCCAAUUUUAUUUUAUUUUACCUUGUCAGACGAUUCAACCAAAAGCAAAAAAAUAAAUAAAUUUACAUAUAUAACGUGGACUAAUCCACGUUAUACAAUAUAAAUUGUAUAACGUGGAUCAGUCCACGUUAUACGAGCAAAAAAAAUUUCUCUGAAACACUGCUUCUUUUCCACAACUGAUAAGGAUGAACUCUAUCUUAACUUGGUUCUUGAGUAUGUACCUGAAACUGUUCACCGUGUUAUCAAACACUACAACAAGCUGAACCAACGGAUGCCAUUGAUACUUGUGAAGCUUUAUACAUAUCAGAUUUUCAGGGCAUUAUCUUACAUACACCGCACCAUUGGAGUGU